rnacentral:misc_RNA from 1 species
AAGUCGUAACAAGGUUUCCGUAGGUGAACCUGCGGAAGGAUCAUUAUACACGAUUUCCAAUCGUAUAAACCUUUCGUGCACUCGUUUCGUACCCCAGGUCUAGUCGAACCGAACAGCAGAAGAGCUGAGGUAGUGUGAGAGGCUCUCGGGUCUCUCGUUCUUCUGUCCGCCUUGGUCCCGAAAGGGCGUCAAGGGGGUUCGCCUGGAUUACACUACUGCGUCCUUAUGGCUUUCAGCUAUCUGGGCGCUUUUUUUAUUGACCCUUUUCAACCUUUUUUGUAACCAUUCGUACUAAAAAGUUUUUCAGUUUCAUAAGAAACUUAAGAACAACUCUUAGCAACGGAUAUCUAGGCUCGC